rnacentral:rRNA from 1 species
UAUCUGCCCUUUGGCCUGGAAUAACACGAGGAAACUUGUGCUAAUACCGGAUAAGUCUUUACGGAGAAAGCUUUAUGCACCAUUGGAUGAGCCUGCACUUGAUUAGUUUGUUGGUGGGGUAAUGGCCUACCAAGACUUUGAUCAAUAGCUGAUUUGAGAGGAUGAUCAGCCACAUUGGGACUGAGACACGGCCCAAACUCCUACGGGAGGCAGCAGUGGGGAAUCUUGCACAAUGGAGGAAACUCUGAUGCAACGAUGCCGCGUGAGUGAAGAAGGCCUUUGGGUUGUAAAGCUCUUUCGUCGGGGAAGAAAAUGACUGUACCCGAAUAAGAAGGUCCGGCUAACUUCGUGCCAGCAGCCGCGGUAAUACGAAGGGACCUAGCGU